UGGCACUAUGGUGGACCGUUUCCCUCACUGAUGUGGCAAUAUGGCGGCUCGUCCCUCGUGUAAUCACAAAACUGGCCAGCAAGUUUCCUCAGAAGUUACUGGUUCAUCUCCUUGGAAAUCACACCUCUGUAAUCUUGCUGUGAAGCAAGAGGUAGCCCAGGAACUGAGUUUUUCCUGCCCUGAGCCACAAUCUGUUCUGGCCAGCUUGGACACCUUACACAGCACCUAUCAGAAGUUUCUAGAAUUUGUCAAGCUCUUCGGGCUGAGGGUGCCUGUUCAUUGGCAGUGUCUGAAAAGAUGCCUUGAGUUGAUUCUGACUCAUGGCAGCCCCAUGUGUGGAAGGAUGCCUCUGAUUGGUGAUGAUCUUAAGAAUUGGGACAUCCAAGUAAAGAGAAGGUGAUCCUCCUCAGACCUUAAUGUGGGCCUAGUUUCUUGCAUCUUGUGACGAGUUCGUUCCUAGGCCAGCCUUGUCAUUUAAACACCUUGGAUGUGUGCUCACGUGGGAAUGGUAAUGUACUGCAAUUUCUUACGGUGGUGUUUCCGUGGCAGACUUGUUUUUGCAGUAAAUGUGUAUUCAUGUCUCUUUGGAAGAGACAUCAACCUCCUAGAAAGGAUGAGGAUGAUGUAGCUGGCGGUGGGAUGAGAAUAAGAAAAUAGCUCACUUCUUGCCAUCUGCUAUCUCACUUAAACCUCUCAAACCCCUGUGACAUUUGAAAAGUGAGAUUACUGAUGGGCAGGAAAGAGUCGUACCUUGCACGGGGGCACAAAGCCAAUGGUUAGGAGGGGUGCCCCUCAAAAACCAAGUGUAGCUGACCUCAAAUCCCGUGGUAUUGGGCACUAAGUUGAGAGAUACUCUUUUAAUGCAGCCUUUUAGUGCUCACCAAAUUAGUUGUUGCCUUCCUGCCACCCCUUCAUGCACUCUUCUGCUGACUCUACUCUGCCAGUUGGUGGGAACAAAACAGUUACCUGGGUACUGUCAGUGAUUGGUGACUGAGGCUGGUGACUUUUGAGUUCUCACGGGCUUCUAGGGAUGAGACUGGAGGUCCAGGACUGUCCCGGGUCAGGGCUCCAGAUGGGCUGCUCACCCCCUCCUACCUCAUUGUCGAAGAGGACACAGAGCCUCAGGCCUUCGCUGCCACCUUCACUCUGGUUCCCUGCCUCAGUUGAUUGUUUUUUCUUUAAUAAGAAUUACAGAGGUUAGAGCCUCAGAAAGGGGAGGCGCUUUGUGAUCAGGAAAGAUGAAAUGACAAAUGCUCCCUCACUUUCAGGGGCAACAGAUGGGGGGGGGAGGGAUGUGAACCACAUCCUCUUUAAAACUGCUCUGUUUGAAGUAGGAUAAAGCAGACAGUUUGGAGGACAAGGACCUUGGUGUGAAAGGUGUGAUAGCUGGGGCAUGGAGAAUUUUAUGUCCUGGGGAAGGAAUUGGUAAUGGCCUGUUCUCAGACUUUUAUAUUCUUACAGUAUCACUAAACAAGAUGAUUUCACACCGCAGAAAAAUGGGGCACUAGGAAACAUGAGGACUCCUAUACACACCCUGUGUCCUGCCAUUGUUGAAAUGUUUGGUAGGCACAAAACCUUUGUAAGCUGUAACAGUUCCUGAAUUCUGAUUAAGUUUAUGGGGAUGCAGUGUGAUUUGUAUCCAAGCAUUUCUCUAGUAGCUCGAUGCACCCUUCUGCUGACCAUACUCUGCACGUUGGGGGAACUAAAAGUUACCUGGGGCCUGCCUAUAGUAUGCACCCUUCUGCUGACCAUACUC